GGCAAAUCUCCAAAAUAGCACAAUUCUAAGUUUAUAUCACAAAAAUAGCACUCAAAAACUAAAAUGACCAAAAUAGCAUUUUAUUCUUUGAAAAAUUUAAAUUUUUUUAUUUUUUAAAAUUUGAAAUCUUAUCCCCAAAACCUCAUUUUUCAACUCUAAACCCUAAAACCUAAACUCUAAACCCUAAACCCUAAAUUCUAAACCCUAAACUCCACCCCUUGAGUGCUAUUUUUGUGACUUUUGGCCUUAAGUGCUAGUUUGGAAACAAAAACUUUAAUGCUAUUUAGGUCUUUUUCUCUUUUAGUUCCGCUGUCUCAUCGUUAUUUCUUGAAUGGAUCAUUUACAGAGAUGUUUAAAGCCCAAUAAGCUACCCGAAGGCCCAAUCAUACCUUCCCUUAGUUUUUAUUAUUGAACUAGUAUUAAUUUUCUUACUCUCUUGUGUUGUGUCUAGGCCUAGUUGUGUCCUUUAUUCUUGGUAAAAAUCAAACGCAGGAAAUAGAUAAUUUUCUCUCGCUCGCAAGUCGCAACCCAUCUUCUCUCCUCCUUCGUCUCUCGCUCGCACCUCGGAAUCUGAAAGCAGCUCGACGCCUGGAUCGGUAAGAUUCCCUCCCUAUUAUGCAUCAUAAAGAUCUCAUCUUUACGCCUCCAUUUCCGAUUGGCCGUAGCUUUCGUUCCAGGCAGGAUCUGUGAUGUUCAUCGGAUUGAUUUCAAGAUCCAAAAGCCUCUCUCCCUUUACCUGAUUCCAUCGCUACUGAUAAAUUCACACUAGUCUCGAUAAAGUAGCUUACUUUACCUUUUAAAGUAUCGAUUUUUAAUUCUUCUUUCAGGAGGAUGGCCAUGGUGGAUGAACCUUUAUAUCCCAUCGCUGUGCUCAUUGACGAGCUUAAGAACGACGAUAUACAGCUUCGCUUGAACUCCAUCCGUCGCCUAUCUACAAUCGCUCGUGCCCUUGGAGAGGAGCGCACGAGGAAAGAGUUAAUCCCCUUCCUGAGUGAGAACAGUGAUGAUGACGACGAGGUUCUCCUUGCAAUGGCUGGGGAGCUGGGUGUUUUCAUUCCUUUUGUUGGAGGGGUUGAGCAUGCACAUGUGCUUCUCCCUCCUCUGGAGUCUCUCUGCACCGUUGAAGAGACCUGCGUGAGAGAGAAAGCUGUGGACUCGCUUUGUAAGAUCGGAUCUGAGAUGAGGGAGAGUGAUCUUGUGGACUCCUUUGUCCCUCUUGUGAAGGUUAGAUAGUGAUAGUGAGAGAGAAUCUAUAUGUACCAAGUGGUCAAGGCUAAUUUGUUUUUUUCUUUAUAUUGUAGAGACUUGCAGCUGGUGAAUGGUUUGCAGCUAGAGUUUCCGCAUGUGGUUUGUUUCAUGUUGCGUACCAAGGCUGUACUGAUGUGUUGAAGACAGAGUUGCGGUCUAUUUAUAACCAGUUGUGCCAAGAUGAUAUGCCUAUGGUGCGGAGAGCUGCUGCAACUAACCUGGGGAAAUUUGCUACUACUUUGGAGUCCAGCUAUUUGAACGCUGAGAUCAUGACUAUGUUCGAUGAUCUUACUAAAGAUGGUACUUAAUGCUUGAAAUAUGUCACGUCUCACUAUAUGUGUCCAUCAUUUAAAACUAGUUUGCAUGGUAAAUAAAUCACAUUUGAAACUAAGAAGCAAGGUUUGAUGAAGAAACCUGUUAGAGCAGAUACAUAUCUCUUUAGAAAUGUUUGUUUCUUAUACAUUAUUUUUUAUAUUGGUUUAAAUUUGAAACUUCAUUUCAGAACAAGAUUCUGUCAGACUAUUGGCUGUGGAAGGCUGUGCAGCUCUUGGAAAGUUACUGGAACCUCAGGAUUGUGUUGCACGCGUUUUACCUGUUAUUGUUAAUUUCUCUCAGGUGAAAUUGAGCUUUGGUUUUACUUUUAUUGCAUUGAUAGCUUUCAUCAGUAAACGUUUGCAGUCCUGAUAUAAGUGGAUGCUAUAUGGUUUGUUUUAUGAGAGCAGGAUAAAUCUUGGAGGGUGCGCUACAUGGUUGCUAAUCAGCUAUAUGAACUUUGUGAGGCAGUUGGUCCUGAUUGCACCAAGUAUGUGCCUUCUGACAUUUCUUGUUUUAUUGUUCUGGCUUUUCUUUCUCGUAAAACAAUGUUGCGACCAUCAAGCUAAGAGCGUUUAUUGGAAGCCCUGGACGGUAUCUUAUUAUUUCGACACGAAAACUUUUUUGUGGUUCUAGGACGGAUUUGGUUCCAGCGUAUGUAAGACUGCUACAGGACAAUGAGGCUGAAGUGCGAAUAGCAGCAGCGGGGAAAGUGACUAAGUUCUGUCAGCUUUUGAAUCCAGAGCUUUCUAUUCAGCACAUCCUUCCUUGCGUGAAGGUACGUACACUCACUCGGCUCUUACUUUUUCUUAAUUCCAUAUAUAACAGGCAUGGGUUGAUGGCAUUUCCUUUUUAUUGUCUUGCAGGAUUUAUCAUCCGAUUCUUCUCAACAUGUCCGCUCUGCUCUAGCGUCAGUAAUAAUGGGAAUGGCUCCUAUCCUUGGAAAGGUAUAUGAACUGGAGAUAGCCAACACCUCUGCAUCUUGUAAAUAUAAGUUACACACCAAUUGGUGUUGCAUCAAUGAUAAUUUAACAGAGUAAAAUCUUCAAUACAGGACUCAACCAUUGAGCAUCUGCUACCAAUUUUUCUCUCCCUUUUGAAAGAUGAAUUUCCUGAUGUACGCCUCAACAUCAUAAGCAAGCUAGACCAAGUCAACCAGGUUUGCUCCAUAUCCCUCUUCCAAAGUCUUAUAUACUUCUUUUUUAACUGAUAACUGAAGUUAUCUUUGUACGGCAGGUUAUUGGGAUUGAUCUGCUGUCACAAUCCUUGUUACCGGCGAUUGUAGAGCUUGCCGAGGAUCGGCACUGGAGAGUUCGUCUUGCUAUUAUUGAGUACGUUCCUCUGUUGGCCAGCCAGCUAGGUAUAGGGUUUUUCGAUGACAAGCUCGGAGCCCUUUGCAUGCAAUGGUUACAAGACAAGGUUUAUCUUAAUCCCUGAUAUUGGAUCUUUAAUGGUAGCAUAAUAUCUCUCAUCUACUUGUGAUUCUGGAUAUUAACGUUGUUCUCGUCUCCUCCUUCAGGUCUACUCUAUCCGUGAAGCUGGAGCAAACAACCUAAAGCGUCUUGCAGAGGAGUUUGGUUCUGAAUGGGCAAUGCAGCACCUAGUUCCCCAGGUUGUAUUCUUUGGGCAGUUCCUACUAGAACCUUUCAUAUCUAUGGCUCUGAUCUCGAUCCUUGGGUCUUUUUUUUUUGCUAAAGCUGCAUAUAUAGAGCUCCGUAUUAACCUUUUUUGCUUUCAUGUAAACAGGUAUUGGAGAUGGUCAACAAUCCGCACUACCUACACAGGAUGAUGGCUCUACGUGCAAUAUCACUCAUGGCUCCUGUAAUGGGAUCAGAAAUCACAUGUUCUAAGUUUCUUCCCGUCGUGGUUGAGGCAUCAAAAGACAGGUGAGAUAGAUAGAGAUGACUUUCGCAAGCUCCUUCAGAGAAAAGUUUUUUUUCUAACGUGUUGUUGCACAUAUCUAACCGCUGCAGAGUUCCAAACAUCAAGUUCAAUGUUGCAAAACUUCUGCAAUCCCUCAUCCCCAUAGUCGACCAAUCAGUAAGAAUGAGAUUAAACAUUACUCCAAUGUUAAAUGCUGAACUGUAAUGUUAUUUGCUGUGUUUUGUAGGUGGUGGACAAAACAAUACGUCAGUGUUUGGUGGACCUGAGCGAGGACCCUGAUGUUGAUGUUCGUUAUUUUGCAAACCAAGCGCUUCAGUCCAUUAAUGGUGCCGCAGUGGCGUAAUCCUGAUUCUUUUCAAGCGUAUUACUGAUAGAUAAUCUUUCAUCUGGAAUAACUUUUCGUUUAUAAAGUUUCUUGUAUUUGUUUUCUUUUUCUGCUAUUGCAUUGGUAUGUUUUGUGUAAAACGCUAUUUUGGCUGCUGGUUAUGAACUGCAUUUGAUAUAUGUUAGGAAAAUUGUAUUUCCUUUGUUACAUCUUCUUGUGUUCAAAUCCUUGUUUCCAAUAUGUUCAUCUUAGUUUACUCAACUGCAAAUACCACCCUAUCGAGAAUCCGACUUUGGAUUGUGUUGCUGCUUAAUUCUUAGAAAUUUGGAUGAUUCAUAUGUUACUAAAAUCAAUUAAUCAUCGCUCCCGAUAUCCAUAACUACUGUAUGUAGCACUAGCACAUCUGUGAAGUGAUUAUGUCCUUGAACAGUCAGUUUUAACUAAAGUUGUUUAGGGAUAGAUUGAUAAGAGUCAAAGCUUGUGGCUGUUUGGUCUUCCGGCUAGUUCUGUUUCUUUCUUUCGCUUGUCCAAGCUUUGUUCCUCUUCAAUUAGUUUGUGUUUAACUAAAAGGCAAAAUCAGUAGAUUAUAUUUGAUUAAUUUUGGUCAAACUAACGUCCACAACUUCUAUUCAUGACGAAGGAAUCAUCUACUUGCAUGAUAUUCUACAGUUAUAUCUCUUCUUUUCCAAGAGACAUGGCCUGAUCAAGCAGAGAAGGGGUGCACAUGCACCCAUAAUUUAUCACCAUCAAAUAUUAAAAUUAGCAGAGAAGGGGUGCACAUGCACCCAUAAUUUUUUGAAAAAUUAAUGUAAUUGUUAAGAAAUUUUAAAUGUGCACCCACUAUAAUUCAUUACUAGAUUUUAACCCGCGCACCCGCGCGGGUGUAUUUUUCAAAAAUAUUUUGCUACUUGUUUUUUAUGUUAAUAUUAGUGCUUGAAAAAAAUCAAAAUCUGAAGAACGAAACCGAUCUUGAUCUGAAAGUGUAAUACCAAACCCGAACCAAAAUUGAUAGCAAAAUAUUUUGAAAAAUAUGUUAAUAUUAAAUCUGCGCGCCUGCGCGGAUGUAUAUUUUGAAAAAUAUGUUGAUAUUUGUUUUUCAUGUAAUUAUUAGGGUUUGGCAAAAUGAAUCCGAGGAACAGACCCGAUACCGAUCCGAAAAUAUAGUACCAAACCCGAACAUAAAUUGAUUAAAUAUUCAAAUUAUUCAAAGUUUUGUUAUUUAGAGAUCCAAAUCUGAUCCGAACCGAAGUAUUCGGAUACUUAUAUAUUUAAUUAUAUUUAGAUUUAACGUAUAUAAAACAUCAAGAAUUAUACUUUUAAAUUGGUUUAAAUACUUGAAAAUAUAUAUAGAUAGUCAAAAGUAAAUAUCUGAAAUAGUUAAGGUAUACUCAAAUCACCAAAAAUACUUAAAAUAUUUAUUGAUUUUGUAUCCAAAAAUUUUAAAUGCCAAUUGAUAUGUUAAGCUUAGGUAUUCUGACAUAUGUUAUUUGAAUUUAUUGGAAAUAUAUUAUUUUAUUUAUAGAUUUUGAGAAAUUUAAAAUAUAUAAUGAUUUAAAACUUUAAAAAUAAUUUAAAUGGAUCCAAACUCGAACCAAACCCGCAAAGGUCUGAAUCACACUCAAACCAAAAUUUAGAAACAUCCUAAUAGGGCUGAAAUCUUUGACCCCGGAAAUCUGAAAUGCAAAUCGAUCAGAACCAAACUCGUAUGGGUAACCGAAAGUCCAUCCCUAGUCAUUAUUAUGUAUCGUAUAUUGUCAUCAUAUAAUUAAUCGUAUUUUAUAUGUACCAUCAUAUAAAUAAUUACAUAUAUUAUAUUUUUAAAACUUAAUAUGAAAUAUAAAAACCAUAAUUUGAGUUGGUAUUUCAAAUUGGGCUUCGUAUUGUAUUUUUCUUAUAUAUAUGUUGACAACAUUUUUUAUAAUGGUUAUUGAAAAAUAGUUUAGUAAAAAUCCAUUUUUGAAUAUAUGUAUAUUUUUCAAUCAAUUUAUGAUAUAAAUCAAUUUUGAAUUAUUAUUUUGAUUUUAAAAUAUGUAUAUAAAGUUUAAAUUUUGUUUUAUGGUUAGUUUAGAAAAAAAAGUUUUAGGCAAUUAGAUUGACUCAUUUUAAAACUGGCUCAAAUAGAUAGUUUCUUAUAAUAUGAUGGACUUUCAAUUUUUCUUAAUAACAUAAGCCCAUUACUUUUUUGCUUAAUAAUACUAUCCUUGUUUUCAAACAAAAGUAAUGGUUAUUGAAAAAGAGUUUAGUAAAAAUUCAUUUUUGAAUAUAUGUAUAUUUUUCAAUUAAUUUAUGAUGUAAAUCAAUUUUGAAUUAUUAUUUUGAUUUGAAAUAUGUAUAUAAAGUUUAAAUUUUGUUUUAUGGUUAGUUUUGAAAAAAAAGUUUAAAUGAUUUGACUCAUUUUAAAACUGACCCAAAUAGAUAAUUUUUUAUAAUAUGAUGGACUUUCAAUUUUUCUUAAUAACAUAAGCCCAUUACUUUUUUGCUAAAUACUACUAUCUUUAUUUCCAAACAAAAGUAAUAUUUUUUAAAAAGACUACAAUCCAUGUUACCAAACACUCUUAUUUUUUAAACUCAUAUACAUGUUUCCAAACAAUCUCAUUUUGUACUUCAGUUUUAAUAAGAUAGAUAGUGCACCCACAAAAAUUUACAUUAAGCCCUAAUGAAAAAAGUAAACAUAAUUUAUCACCAUCAAAUAUUAAAAUUAGCUUUAAAGUCCAAUUGUAUUCUCUAUUUUUUUUUGGUUAAAAUUCUAAUAGUUCGCUCAAAAAAUUUAAUCGCUUAAUCUUUUCUUCUUAAACAUGCAAGUGCAACCAUCAAAUCAAGUUGACAAAGUUUUAUUCUCUUGUCUACCAUACAAAACUGGUAACUAAUUUAAUAAUCUCUAUGUUAAUGCUUUGAGUUGUUUUAAACAAUGUUUACGAUUAGUAAUUAUUUAGAUAGCAUCUAAGUUUUUGAUUCAGUAGUAAAAGUCCAAAAGUCAUAGAAGUGGCUUUACUCUUGACUACAGUUGAUGGUUUUGCAGGUUUUACAUGUUUGUAAUUUAUUUAUGUUUCAUUAAUUAUGUUUUUGAUAGAUUGCACGUUUAAAUUAUGUUACGUUUUCAGUUUUAAUUAGAUUUAUCUCGGUGAUGAAAAAAUAUUUUAUUAUUUAAUAAUCUUUAUUUUUGGUUUAUAGGUUUUUGAAGUUGAUUUUAACUUUACCAGUUGAAGCGAUAAGUAUUAAUAUUUUUCUACAAUGAAAAUAGUGAAGAUAACUCUAUGAAAUCGAAUGAAAUAUUAUUUUUAAAUAAUUAUCUCAUUUUUAUUAAAAAAUUAUUUUUUUAAUAUAUAUCUAAAAUAUUUUAUUUAAUAUUUUAUCUAAUGUUUGUGCACCCUUUAUAAAAAAAUUCUGGCUUCGCCCCUGACACUUGACACUUGUAGUGAUCAAACUCAUAGAAAAGAGACGGGAUCUUUGUCAUUUUUGCAACUGACCCAUGAUUUAAGACAAGAUCUAACUCGAAAAAGCAAAGACUUUAUGCAAUGAAGUGUCGUAGAAACUAGAAAGCAAAACCAGGAAAGGGAUUCUCAAAUCCUAACUGUAUGCUUUAUUUCUGUUUAUUAGUUUACAACUUUAAAUGAUUAUUUGCUUCGUAUAUUACGUACUAAUAUAAAUUUCCUUAUUUGGGUUUAUCUCUCAUGGAAUUUCUAUAUUUUCUGCUCGUUUUUGUGUAAUUUUUCCUUGUAUCCCAUCUUCGAAUAAUCAGGGCCGUGCCUGACAUUUGCAAGACUAGAACCAAAGAAAAAAAAUUGGCCCCUGUAAAAAUAAUUUAUCAUUAACAUAAAAUAAAUUGAUGAUCGGCAGACUAGAUAUAUAAGAGAUGAGUCUGUAGUGGACUUUUAUCGGAAGACUAGAUAUAUAAGAGAUGAGUCUGUAGUGGACUUUUAAAAGUCUAAUAAUUAAACAAAACUUUACCGAUGGACAAUGGUUCGUAGAUGAUGUAGUCUGUAGGAGAAACAAAAGACUUUGUGACUUCGUUAAUUGAGAGUUAAGUGAAUAACUAGAAAACAAUUGAUUAGGUUUUGAUAACUGAUUUUUUUUUUCCUGAGGAAUUUAUAUAGUUAAUGCUGAUCAUUAUCCUAUUUCCUUUUUAUUUUGAUAUUACUAUAUUUCCUUUUUCUUUUAAGUAAAGUUAGUUUAAUUUUCGUUUAAAAAUAUUGUACUACAAAGAGCAUUAGUCGGAUUUCGGACCCGGGCUGCUAAAAGUUCGACUCAUGUAACAUCCACUUUAACCAUCUCAGCUAUUUAAACAUAUGAAAAAAUGAACCCAAUUUAAUUUCUAUAUUGAUCGACCCUCAAGCAAAUGCUUGAUGGGCUUGUAUCCAGGCCUCGCCCUGCGAAUAAUAGACAAAAAUUAGAAUUAAUUCUUUGGAAUUGAUAUUUGGUUAACUGUUAAAAGUAUACUUUUUGUUUAAGUGAGAUAAAUUUUAUGUGUAGCAUGCACCUGUGAAAGUAAAAGAGUGUUUUUUUUUAUGAACAAAGGAAAAAGUAAAAGGUGGACAUGACAUAACUUUAAUUGAAACAAUUACAAUUUAAUUUGUGCACCAGUUGACAUCACAAAAGUAGAAAAGGUAAUAUGAUUGACCCGAAUGGCUGCCACUUCAUUCUUUGCAAUGGCAUCAUGUCUUCGCCACCUUGCCAUGUUCCUCUCUUUUUUUAGUUAUGUAAAUAAAAUUAUUUAUUUUAAAAAAGAUUAUACAUGUACAUGAGGAAAUCACUAAUCAUAUACAGUAAUAAUUUUCUUGACUUUUUGAACAAAUAAUUUGUUUAACUUCUUCUCCUAAACAUAAUGAUUUAGUUCUUUCAUUUUUCCAAUUAGUAUCCUAUAAAGUUCUAUACUACUGCAGUACUGCUAAGAUCGAGCUGAUGAGAGAUUGCAAUUCGUAUAUGUUUUUAGACAAUCUCUAAUGGUUUACUCUAUUUUUUCCUCUAAAGUAAUUUUAUAAUAGAGUGUGAUGUUAUUUUAAUGGUACUCUAUUUUAGAGUGAAAAAUAGAGUGAUGAACAAAAAAUAAAAAAAUUACUCAAUAUAUAGAAUAAAAAAUAGAUUUACACUAUUAUAGAGUAGAAAAUAAAGUACCAUUGAAAUAUUUUUACUCUAAACUCUAUUUUAGAGGGGAAAAUAAAGUGGGGUUGGAGAUAUACUUAAACAAAAAACUAGAUACUGUAUUGACUAGCAAUUAACACGUGAGCAGCUAGUGUAAAUAUUAUUCUGGAAUAACUACAUAUCAUCAUCAUGAUACGUAAUCAAAUCCAUACCAAUAUCAAUCAAGUCGUUGCUUCGUCAUAGAAAAGGUGACAAUUAGAGAUUUUUCAGAACUAUAGAAGAUUAAUUUUUAAAUUAAGUAAAAACAAAACAAGGUUUCGUUAGACCAAAAAGAAAAACAAGGUUCCGAGUUGGUGGGUGCGGGCAAGCAGAAGCAUCAUCUGAACUGGAAUGUCAGAGUUAAAACGUCACGACCAAGAAUUUAAUUCAUUACACAACUCUUUGCAACAACAAGUACAAGAAAAAAAACAUUAAAUGCUACUAACAUUUAUUUGUCGAGAAUCCAAUGAGAGAGUUCGCCAAAUCGAAACCGACACGUGUCCCUUGCUGCUGCACGUUUCCGAUGAUCGCAAGCGAACUCGCCGUCGGUGCAAACGCAAGACAGAAAGUCCCCACCGAGUCAACCGGAAUCAUGUAAUUCUUUGCCGGCAACGCCAACAUGUUCCCGCCGGGAAAAUGAAAAGCCACCGUGGGGACCUCAAUCGUCGUUUUAGCCGCCAGAUUGUAACACGUGUCGAACAUGGCAACUCCGGCGGCUUUCUCCAAGUCCGUCGUCCCUUUCACGAACGCGUCUCUGAGCGAGUUGUAGAUUCCCGUCUGGAGCCGAGUCACGGCCGUUCCCGAGUCGAUAAUGAUCCCUCCGCCUCCCGACUCGUCCACCUCGAAAGAAGAGCUCGGAAUCUGAAGCAUCUCGCCGCCGACGCUUAUCCCGGUGAGUCCAAGGUAGUAGAACGUGUCGAGCUGGUGGUUACGCAGCAGCGGAGCCACGACGGCGUCGGGAGAGAUAUCCGACCCGAACUCGACGGUGGAAACCGAGUCCGAGUCGCGGUCGACGAGGCAGUAAGAGAACGACGUCGUGUUCAGCUGCGACGGCAGAGCGAGCAAACCGCCGCCGAGACCGAGCAAACCGGCGGCGCCAACGAACAGUCCUUGGUUGCUGUGUCCACACCCGACGGCGACGUUAUCGACGGAAGCUGAGCCGAUGGUGAGCGUCUCGGUGGCGAGAUCGCCGACGGUGUAAGAGCCGUCUCCGUAAGAAACCUCGUAGAGACACGUGGCGUUCCUGCAUUCGGAGACCUCGAGGGCCUUGCACUGAGGAGUGUCGCAAGAGAGUGUAGAGUAAGAAGAGGAAGACGACGGCUCGAAGAUGGGCUCGGUCUGGUGGUAGCAGUCGGCGCAAGGGGCGCACUGUAGCCAGUUCACGUCGCUUCCGGUAUCGAGCACCAUGUAGACCUCACGCGCCGGGUUUCCGAUACCCACGCGUGUGAAGUACUCGCCGCUUCCUUGAGUUGUGCCGGAGAUCAAAGGAGCUUCGAUCUCUUGCUGCUCCGUGGUGUACAUUGUGGUAAUAACGGGCUUGAGAUCUGCUUUGGAUAUGUUGUUAGUGGCUAGAUCUAAACGAGCCAUGAGGGAUUUGACUCGGGCUGAGUCACGGUCGAGUCUAGCUAGCGUGAGAGACUUGUAGUCUGAGUGCUCAUUUCCUUGGACGGAGGCUCGUGAAUGAAGCUGCAAGCUAAAUGAAGAGGACGAAAAAGAUGGAGUGUGACUCUGUUCUUCUUGCUGGUUCAGCUGAAACGACGGCGCACCCUUGGUUCUGCGAAUGGAGUCGGAGACAUCAAGAAUCGUUGAAGUAGUGACAGAGAUCUUUGGCAAGAUUCUGGAAGUAACCGAAGAAUGUGAAACGAGGAAGAAGAUGAAGAGAACAAAGCAACGGUGAGAAAACAUUUUUAGUUCCCGACCGUUAGAUAGACCUAGAGUGAGAGAUCUUCUCUUACUUAUUAAAGAGAGAGAGGCAAGACAAAAGUGAGUUUUGUGGUGGGGGAGGGAAGAAAGUGAGACAAAAGUGAGUUUUGUGGUGUUUUGCAGAUUCCAAGGAGAUUUAUAUACGAGCAAGUAUCUUUGGAAGAAACAAGAAGAUAUAUAAAUGGUUAAAGAGGAAGAGGAGGUUUCUUCAUCGUCUUUAGGUGUGAAGAUUAAUUAUAACUUCGUUUUAUGAUCUCAAUGCGGUUAGUGUGGCGCUUAUUAGUAUAUCUAUCUUGUUUAGAAUCUCAUUUCUCAUCACUUUUUCAUCUUCGUCCUUAUUUAAGUGUUUUUGACAACGAGCUUAGCUUUUUGCUAAUGACUUUCAAGUAAUUGACAGCUCAUCCAUUUCGUAUUCUAUUACCCAAGCAAAUACAUAAUAAAACUAUUAUGGUAUUAAACAAUGUAGCUAAGCAAAGUAAAAAAGGCUUUUAUAAAAUACACACUUGCGUGAUAAUGCAUAUCAAAAUUUGGUUCAUUAGUAAGAAGUUCAUAAACUUAAAGAUUCAGAAAUAAAAUCAUAAAUUCAAAAUCUAGUUUAAGCUUUUGCUUCUUGUUUUUUCUUUAAGAAAAAGUAAUUGAAUUAGGUUAGUGUAGGAUAAAAUUGAAGUAAAUUAGUCCUUAGAUAUGCCAUACACUAAUUAUUAAGUGUUCAUUUCACUUUUACGUUCCUAAGAGCAUGAUUAACCAGAGCAUAAUUAACCGGAGUUCUUAAUUUGGAGUUCUUAACUCAUGAUUUGACACUUUUUUUUACACUUUUUGGCUAAGAGUCGGCUUUUAUAUCUCUUAUUUAAAAGACGGUUCUUAGCUUUUCUUAGUUAAAAGUUAAGAAACGGUUUUUAGAUUUUCUUAGUUAAAAGCUAAGAACCCCACCUAAGAGCCCAGGUUAAUCAUGGUCUAAGGCGUCCCUUUGCCAUCCCCAAAUGGUCCCUGUCCCGGAGACGUUUCCAUUACGGAUACGGCAAGCAAAAUGACGUCCCCGUGCAACAUAGGUACACAAUAUAUCCCAGAGAUAAACAUGUGGCCAAGGCUCCUUUGUGUCUUCAAGAAAAGGAGACACCUGAAAAAUAAACCACAACAUAAAGAUGAAUCAGUAAUCACAAUCAAACACGACAUAUCAGUAAUCACAAUAUCAAAACAUACAUCGGCCACUGAAAGACGUCUUCUGUUGAAGAUCACGUUGCAAAGCAAAAAAAUAUCGUCUUAGUAUAGAUGCAUGACAUUUGAGAACAAGCCUUUGUGCAGACAAUUGUCUCUCCACAUAAUCUGGAAAAAAAAACAAAUGUUAUUGUUUGUACAAACAAAACAAACACAAAAAAUAGAAUAAAGAAUGACUACCUCUGAAACAACCAUCACAAAACUUAUGUCCGCAGUUAAUCCUCAAACAAGAUACUAAUGUUUUACGGAACGAACAAUAGGAAUAGACGUCAAGUGGUGGAGACUCCGUUAUGCAAUUAAUUUUUGUUUUCUUGCCACUUAAGGCGUCUAUGGGUAAUCAAAGUGAAUCGAAUUAAUCUACUUUCACCUGGAAGUUUUUUUGGGGAAUUUUAUAUUUACCAAUUUCAUAUACCAUUAUUUACCUUUACCACUAUUAAAGGAUCAUUUUCAAAAAUACAUUUUUAAUUAAGUGGCAAAAUAAUCUUAUACUCGUGUUCAAUAUAUAUAAUAAAUAAUUAUUUAAAUAAAAUAAAAUAAAACAAAAUAAAAAUAAAAUUGAAAAUUAUGUUUGAACCUAUUUUUUAAAAAAUUAUAUUUUUAAGUAUUUAUUUUAUAUAUUUAUUGGAAUCCUAAAUUUCACAUUAUAAAAAGAGCAAUUCUCUCAAAUAGCCUUUUUAAGUUUUUGUCACAAAAAUAGACCUCGAAAACUAAAAUGACCAAAAUAGCAUUUUUAUUUUGAAAAUUUUAAUUUUUUUUUAUUUUUAAAAAUUUGAAAUCAUAUCCACAAAACCCCACUCCUCAACUCUAAACCCUAAACUUUAAACCCUAAACCCUAAACCUUAAACCCUAAACCCCACUCCUUAACUCUAGACCUUAAUGUCUAGAUUAAUUAACUUCAG
rnacentral:lncRNA from 1 species